rnacentral:rRNA from 1 species
GACGAACGCUGGCGGCGCGCUUAACACAUGCAAGUCGAACGGAAAGGCCUGCUUUCCCUUGUGGAUUGCGGGUACUCGAGUGGCGAACGGGUGAGUAACACGUGAGUGAUCUGCCCCCAACUUGGGUAUAAGCCUGGGAAACUGGGUCUAAUUCCCGAUAGGACUGCAGGGUGGUGCCUGUGGUGGAAAACGAUUUUCUAGUGGUUGGGGAUGAGCUCGCGGCCUAUCAGCUUGUUGGUGGGGUAAUGGCCUACCAAGGCGGCGACGGGUAGCCGGCCUGAGAGAGGGACGGCCACAUUGAGACUGGGAUACGGCCCAGACUCCUACGGGAGGCAGCAGUGGGGAAUAUUGCACAAUGGGCGGAAGCCUGAUGCAGCGACGCCGCGGGGGGGAUGACGGCCUUCGGGUUGUAAACUCCUUUCGACCGCGAGGAAGCCACCUGGUUGGAAGGGUGGUGACGGUAGUGGUAGAAGAAGCACCGGCUAACUACGUG